UGGAUGGAUGUUGUUCGUCUAUGAACUUCUCUGAUAGAAUUCUGUGAAUCUCGAAGUGGAUAUCUCCAACACCCCCCCCCCUCCCCCGCACUUAGAGUCUUUGAUAAGUUGUACUUCGAUGAGACAACGAAAUCAGAGUAUUCCUAGUUUUCAGAACCAAGUUACAGGAGGAUGCAUGGUUAGGUAGGUUUUAGUCGUCGUGAUAUCCAAUUUUUUUUGAUGGUGAGUCUAUCUUCGUGGUUUGGAGAUGGGAUGUGUAAGGUAUUGCGAGUGUUUACACUUAAUGUAAUGAACUUGUAAACACCAGAUUCAAAUGCUUCUGUUGAGCUUUUGGUUCCUCUUGGCGGCACUUCAUCAAGUUUGUGGUGGACGGAUUGCAAGAGACAGGUGACUAAGUUUAGGGGCGCUAUCCACAAAAGUUUUAAAACUAUGGAGGAAGCUGAGCAUUUUGUGCUAGGGAAUUACGUUUUUCUAGGGUUUUGUAAGCUGGAUCUUAUUUAGGAUUCUGAUAACAAACUUAAGUAUUGACUCCCAUUUUACUUCUAAGCUUGACAAAUUUGUUCUUUUUUUUGGCUUUGGUGAAGAUAUCUGCAAUCUGAUCAUGUGUUGAUAUGUAGAACAAAUCUACUAUUCUUGUAAGUACAUUUUCCCGCAUGUAGUGUAAUUACAUCUCCAUGUAUUUAAAUCCAUCGUGUUACACCGGA